rnacentral:rRNA from 1 species
AGCAGCCGCGGUAAUUCCAGCUCCAAUAGCGUAUAUUAAAGUUGUUGCAGUUAAAAAGCUCGUAGUUGAAUUUCGGGGUCAAUACGUCGGUCGUGCCUUCGGUACGUACUGGUGUUAUUGAUCUCUCCCUUCUGAUGAACCAUGAUGUCAUUAAUUUGGUGUCGUGGGGAGUCAGGACUGUUACUUUGAAAAAAUUAGAGUGUUUAAAGCAGGCUCACGCUUGAAUACAUUAGCAUGGAAUAAUGAAAUAGGACGUUCGAUCCUAUUUUGUUGGUUUCUAGGAUCAACGUAAUGAUUAAUAGGGAUAGUUGGGGGCAUUAGUAUUCAAUUGUCAGAGGUGAAAUUCUUGGAUUUAUUGAAGACUAACUACUGCGAAAGCAUUUGCCAAGGAUGUUUUCAUUAAUCAAGAACGAAAGUUAGGGGAUCGAAGACGAUCAGAUACCGUCGUAG